rfam:Bacillus badius strain MTCC 1458 Contig1, whole genome shotgun sequence.
AGACCUUUUAAAAAUGUCCAGAGAGGCAUUUAAGGGUGUUAGACAAUUGUGCGCACGGAUUUGCCGUCAAAACAUUGUCUUAACUGCUAAACACCCUUAGAAAAGGGUGUUUUUUUUAU